UACGUAGGGGGCUAGCGUUGUCCGGAAUCAUUGGGCGUAAAGCGCGUGUAGGCGGUCCGGUAAGUCCGCUGUGAAAGUCGGGGGCUCAACCCUCGAAAGCCGGUGGAUACUGUUGGGCUAGAGUACGGAAGAGGCGAGUGGAAUUCCUGGUGUAGCGGUGAAAUGCGCAGAUAUCAGGAGGAACACCAAUUGCGAAGGCAGCUCGCUGGGACGUUACUGACGCUGAGACGCGAAAGCGUGGGGAGCAAACAGG
rnacentral:rRNA from 1 species